rnacentral:lncRNA from 1 species
CCCGAGCCGGAGCCGGCAGAGGGGCGCGGGCGCGGACGCGGCGCCUGGCGGGGCCCUGGGAGGCUCGGACGGGGUCCUGGCGUUGAGCUCGGCCGGCCCGGAGCGCGGACCCAGCCGCAGGGGCGGCGAUGGGCACCGAGGGACCCCCGCCCCCGGCCGCCUCCCGCGGACGCCAGGGCUGCCUGCUGGUACCUGCGCGGAUGGAGUCUUGCUCUGUCGCCCAGGCUGGAGUGCAGUGCUGCGUUGACCCGAGGCUGCUGUGUGUAGAAUCAUGUGUUGUGCUCUUCUCUGCUCCCCUGGAAGCCUCCGUCAACAGGUCGAGUUUGCGACUCCACGGAGAAACUGCACUGAUGUCACCAACUUCGUGUCCUGGGCUACUCACCAGCCCAUUUCGGACUGGACUUUGUGUCCCCCCAGAUUCACAUGUCGAAGCCCUAACCCCUAAAUGAGGGCGUCAGGAGACAGAGACGGGGCCUCUGGAAGUGACUAGGGUGAGAGGAGGUGAUGAAGAUGGCAUCCUGGUGAUGGGAUCAGUGCCUGCAAGAAGAAGCCCUCUGGAGCGCACUUCCUCUCUCCACCACGCAAGGACACAGCCAGAAGGCCAGGCCCUCACCAGGAAGGAUCUGGCACCUUGCUCGCACCUGAUCACAGACUCCCAGCCUCUGGAAUUCCGAGGAAGGAACCUCUGCUGCUGAGAAGCCACCCAGGCAUGGCUAAGCUGACUCAAACACCGCAGUGAAUCCAAUGGCUUCAGAGUCAUUUUACAGGUGUUGGGAGAUUUCAUUUCAUAGUUGACUCCUUUCUAAGGAAGAAAUGGACUUGGCUUACCUGUCAGAGUUUGACAUGCUGGUGAAUUGGAGGUUGGAACGCAUCCUCCUACCUUGACUUUGUCGGCGCAGAGCAGGUGUGCACUGUAAUGGGAGCUGCAGGUGGAAAUGGGGAGAGGCCAGGCAUGGUGGCUCACGCUUGUAAUCCCAGCACUACGGGGCCAAGGCGGGAGGAUCACUUGAGUCCAGAAGGCCAAGUCUGCAGUGAGCUAUGAUUGCACCACUGCCUUCCAGCCUGGAUGACAGUCAAAAAAAAAGAGAGCGCAUCUAGACUUUUAGUGUCUCAAUCAAAUUUAAACAAUGGCAAAUACAUUGUGCACAAAAAAGCUGCUUUUAGAUGCUGUGUUGAGAGAGAGAGAGAUAGAGAGAGAGACAGAAAAGGGGAAAGCCUCCAGGCCAUGGCUACUGGUGUUAAUUUGCUGCAAAAAGCAGUGACUGCUGCUGUGGGCUGAAGGAGGCUGCCCCCUAGGCAGGUGUGGGCCAGGGUCUCUCCCAGUGCCGUCAGGCUUAGGGCCAUGAUUCCAGGAGGGAGAAAUCUUUGAAGGCAUUGGUUGAAUUCAGUAGCAUCAAUGGUCAACAUUCAAUUAUUUUGUUCAUACACCACAUAUAUGCUUCAAACUAAAUAAAAAAUAAGACUGAUAACAAAUUG